rnacentral:rRNA from 1 species
AUUGAACGCUGGCGGCAGGCUUAACACAUGCAAGUCGAACGAGCGGCGGACGGGUGAGUAAUGUAUGGGGAUCUGCCUGAUGGAGGGGGAUAACUACUGGAAACGGUAGCUCAUACCGCAUACCAUCAGAUGAACCCAUAUGGGAUUAGCUUGUAGGUGAGGUAACGGCUCACCUAGGCGACGAUCCCUAGCUGGUCUGAGAGGAUGAUCAGCCACACUGGGACUGAGACACGGCCCAGACUCCUACGGUAGGCAGAAGUGGGGAAUAUUGCACAAUGGGAGCAAGCCUGAUGCAGCCAUGCCGCGUGUAUGAAGAAGGCCUUCGGGUUGUAAAGUACGUUCAGUCGGGAGGCGUUACCGACAGAAGAAGCACCGGCUAACUCCGUGCCAGCAGCCGCGGUAAUAC